rnacentral:rRNA from 1 species
AACGAACGCUGGCGGCAUGCCUAACACAUGCAAGUCGAACGAGAGCUUCGGCUCUAGUGGCGCACGGGUGCGUAACGCGUGGGAAUCUGCCCUUGGGUUCGGAAUAACAGUUGGAAACGACUGCUAAUACCGGAUGAUGACGUAAGUCCAAAGAUUUAUCGCCCUGUGGAUGAGCCCGCGUAGGAUUAGCUAGUUGGUGUGGUAAAGGGGCACCAAGGCGACGAUCCUUAGCUGGUCUGAGAGGAUGAUCAGCCACACUGGGACGGAAACACGGCCCAGACUCCUACGGGAUGCAGCAGUGUGGAAUAUUGGACAAUAGGCGAAAGCCUGAUCCAGCAAUGCCUCGUGAGUGAUGAAGGCCUUAGGGUUGUAAAGCUCUUUUACCCGGGAUGAUAAUGACAGUACCGGGAGAAUAAGCUCCGGCUAACUCCGUGCCAGCCGCCGCAGUAA